GACGAACGCUGGCGGCGUGCUUAACACAUGCAAGUCGAACGGAGAGGCCCUGCUUUUGUGGGGUGCUCGAGUGGCGAACGGGUGAGUAACACGUGAGUAACCUGCCCUUGACUUUGGGAUAACUUCAGGAAACUGGGGCUAAUACCGGAUAGGAGCUCCUGCUGCAUGGUGGGGGUUGGAAAGUUUCGGCGGUUGGGGAUGGACUCGCGGCUUGUCAGCUUGUUGGUGGGGUAGUGGCUUACCAAGGCUUUGACGGGUAGCCGGCCUGAGAGGGUGACCGGCCACAUUGGGACUGAGAUACGGCCCAGACUCCUACGGGAGGCAGCAGUGGGGAAUAUUGCACAAUGGGCGGAAGCCUGAUGCAGCAACGCCGCGUGCGGGAUGACGGCCUUCGGGUUGUAAACCGCUUUCGCCUGUGACGAAGCGUGAGUGACGGUAAUGGGUAAAGAAGCACCGGCUAACUACGUG
rnacentral:rRNA from 1 species